ACAACAAAACAACAAUAGUAACAUAACAUUAAAAUAACAACAAUAGCAAACAACAAUAAUAUUUUUAUAAAUGCCCAUGCUGGAAUUCACCUGCAUUUCCUCCAGUCAGUAGGAGGAAAGCAUUAGUCUGCUAAAUCGCCAGGCAGCGGUAGGAAAUUUGCAACAAUAAUAGUAGUAUAACACUUAAAUAACAAUAACAACAAGCAACGACAAUAAUAAUGUUUUUAUGAAUGUGUAUGCUGAAAUUCACCUGCAUGUCUUCCAGUCAGUAGAAGGAAAGCAUUCGUCUGAUAAAUCGGCAGGCAGUGGUAGGAAAGCUUGAAGAAACUGAAUCCAAGGAUGUAAUGGCUAAUCAGAGACCUGGAACUAAAGGGGUUCAAUCCCACUGAAAAUUUCACCAGUUAUUUAAAAUAAACAAGUUUAGAUACCAGCAUUGGGGAGUUUCUACAGCAUCCCAGGAUAUUCUGGAAAAACUGAGAAGAGGUUCCUUACCCAGUCAGCGUGGGGCAAGUACUGCAGCUUGUGAGUCACCAGCACAAUGGUCCUCUUGUCCUCCCGCAGCAUCUUCAGGA